rnacentral:lncRNA from 1 species
AAAGCGUCGAUUCAAGAAGAAAAUUCGUCGUUCUUUUACUAUCGAACUAAUCGGGAGACUGUUUUCAAUCUUGUGGACAAAUAUGAGCGCCGAGCAGAUGACAGGUCCAUACAACGUGUGCCCACUAAUAAACGCUGUAUAUUGGUAGACAGGGACUACGACUUCGAUCGCUCAAAGAGAACUAGGGCCUUGUGCAUAAAAAAGGUAGCUACAUUGAGCAUAGACAGGAAUGCUGUUAAAAGGAUCCCUUGGUGUUUCGUGGGACAGCAGUACUAGUGCAAGGCAGAAUGAAAUUAGAAAUU